GUCGCAAGACCAAAGUGGGGGACCUUCGGGCCUCAUGCCAUCAGAUGUGCCCAGAUGGGAUUAGCUAGUAGGUGGGGUAACGGCUCACCUAGGCGACGAUCCCUAGCUGGUCUGAGAGGAUGACCAGCCACACUGGAACUGAGACACGGUCCAGACUCCUACGGGAGGCAGCAGUGGGGAAUAUUGCACAAUGGGCGCAAGCCUGAUGCAGCCAUGCCGCGUGUGUGAAGAAGGCCUUCGGGUUGUAAAGCACUUUCAGCGGGGAGGAAGGCGGUAAGGUUAAUAACCUCAUCGAUUGACGUUACCCGCAGAAGAAGCACCGGCUAACUCCGUGCCAGCAGCCGCGGUAAUACGGAGGGUGCAAGCGUUAAUCGGAAUUACUGGGCGUAAAGCGCACGCAGGCGGUCUGUCAAGUCGGAUGUGAAAUCCCCGGGCUCAACCUGGGAACUGCAUUCGAAACUGGCAGGCUAGAGUCUUGUAGAGGGGGGUAGAAUUCCAGGUGUAGCGGUGAAAUGCGUAGAGAUCUGGAGGAAUACCGGUGGCGAAGGCGGCCCCCUGGACAAAGACUGACGCUCAGGUGCGAAAGCGUGGGGAGCAAACAGGAUUAGAUACCCUGGUAGUCCACGCCGUAAACGAUGUCGAUUUGGAGGUUGUGCCCUUGAGGCGUGGCUUCCGGAGCUAACGCGUUAAAUCGACCGCCUGGGGAGUACGGCCGCAAGGUUAAAACUCAAAUGAAUUGACGGGGGCCCGCACAAGCGGUGGAGCAUGUGGUUUAAUUCGAUGCAACGCGAAGAACCUUACCUGGUCUUGACAUCCACAGAACUUUCCAGAGAUGGAUUGGUGCCUUCGGGAACUGUGAGACAGGUGCUGCAUGGCUGUCGUCAGCUCGUGUUGUGAAAUGUUGGGUUAAGUCCCGCAACGAGCGCAACCCUUAUCCUUUGUUGCCAGCGGUUAGGCCGGGAACUCAAAGGAGACUGCCAGUGAUAAACUGGAGGAAGGUGGGGAUGACGUCAAGUCAUCAUGGCCCUUACGACCAGGGCUACACACGUGCUACAAUGGCAUAUACAAAGAGAAGCGACCUCGCGAGAGCAAGCGGACCUCAUAAAGUAUGUCGUAGUCCGGAUUGGAGUCUGCAACUCGACUCCAUGAAGUCGGAAUCGCUAGUAAUCGUAGAUCAGAAUGCUACGGUGAAUACGUUCCCGGGCCUUGUACACACCGCCCGUCACACCAUGGGAGUGGGUUGCAAAAGAAGUAGGUAGCUUAACCUUCGGGAGGGCGCUUACCACUUUGUGAUUCAUGACUGGGGUGAAGUCGUAACAAGGUAACCGUAGGGGAACCUGCGGUUGGAUCACCUCCUUACCUUAAAGAA
rnacentral:rRNA from 1 species